rnacentral:lncRNA from 1 species
AUGCAGCCAGUUAUCCGAUUUAUGAUUCCAUUUUGAUCUUAACAACAUUAGGUACAAGUGAUUGGUUUAAGAGGCAAGAAGUAUUGAUGGAUGGUCAUGAACUCAUACUAGUUAGGUGUUUAGACUGACCUCCCCAUAUAUCAUAAUCUAAUGCUUGUAUAAAAAUUCUCAUGUGUACUUUUUAAAUAGUAUAAUUCAUGUUAUUGAAAAGUGAUGAUCUAGAAGUUAAUUAUUCUUCAGCAAAUGAGGAACCAAUCGGGGUUAUCAUAAUCUUUAGCUCAAGACCGCUAGGUUAUCAAAGAUAUAAGAGCACUAGGUAUAAUA